UGUAUAAUGGGUCAGCGACUUAUAUUCUGUAGCAAGGUUAACCGAAUAGGGGAGCCGAAGGGAAACCGAGUCUUAACUGGGCGUUAAGUUGCAGGGUAUAGACCCGAAACCCGGUGAUCUAGCCAUGGGCAGGUUGAAGGUUGGGUAACACUAACUGGAGGACCGAACCGACUAAUGUUGAAAAAUUAGCGGAUGACUUGUGGCUGGGGGUGAAAGGCCAAUCAAACCGGGAGAUAGCUGGUUCUCCCCGAAAGCUAUUUAGGUAGCGCCUCGUGAAUUCAUCUCCGGGGGUAGAGCACUGUUUCGGCAAGGGGGUCAUCCCGACUUACCAACCCGAUGCAAACUGCGAAUACCGGAGAAUGUUAUCACGGGAGACACACGGCGGGUGCUAACGUCCGUCGUGAAGAGGGAAACAACCCAGACCGCCAGCUAAGGUCCCAAAGUCAUGGUUAAGUGGGAAACGAUGUGGGAAGGCCCAGACAGCCAGGAUGUUGGCUUAGAAGCAGCCAUCAUUUAAAGAAAGCGUAAUAGCUCACUGGUCGAGUCGGCCUGCGCGGAAGAUGUAACGGGGCUAAACCAUGCACCGAAGCUGCGGCAGCGACGCUUAUGCGUUGUUGGGUAGGGGAGCGUUCUGUAAGCCUGUGAAGGUGUGCUGUGAGGCAUGCUGGAGGUAUCAGAAGUGCGAAUGCUGACAUAAGUAACGAUAAAGCGGGUGAAAAGCCCGCUCGCCGGAAGACCAAGGGUUCCUGUCCAACGUUAAUCGGGGCAGGGUGAGUCGACCCCUAAGGCGAGGCCGAAAGGCGUAGUCGAUGGGAAACAGGUUAAUAUUCCUGUACUUGGUGUUACUGCGAAGGGGGGACGGAGAAGGCUAUGUUGGCCGGGCGACGGUUGUCCCGGUUUAAGCGUGUAGGCUGGUUUUCCAGGCAAAUCCGGAAAAUCAAGGCUGAGGCGUGAUGACGAGGCACUACGGUGCUGAAGCAACAAAUGCCCUGCUUCCAGGAAAAGCCUCUAAGCAUCAGGUAACAUCAAAUCGUACCCCAAACCGACACAGGUGGUCAGGUAGAGAAUACCAAGGCGCUUGAGAGAACUCGGGUGAAGGAACUAGGCAAAAUGGUGCCGUAACUUCGGGAGAAGGCACGCUGAUAUGUAGGUGAAGCGACUUGCUCGUGGAGCUGAAAUCAGUCGAAGAUACCAGCUGGCUGCAACUGUUUAUUAAAAACACAGCACUGUGCAAACACGAAAGUGGACGUAUACGGUGUGACGCCUGCCCGGUGCCGGAAGGUUAAUUGAUGGGGUCAGCGCAAGCGAAGCUCUUGAUCGAAGCCCCGGUAAACGGCGGCCGUAACUAUAACGGUCCUAAGGUAGCGAAAUUCCUUGUCGGGUAAGUUCCGACCUGCACGAAUGGCGUAAUGAUGGCCAGGCUGUCUCCACCCGAGACUCAGUGAAAUUGAACUCGCUGUGAAGAUGCAGUGUACCCGCGGCAAGACGGAAAGACCCCGUGAACCUUUACUAUAGCUUGACACUGAACAUUGAGCCUUGAUG
rnacentral:rRNA from 1 species